GGCGUUGUUGCUCUGAGAUUCCUCCUCGCAUUCUGUGAUGGGGCUAUCGCCGGUAAGCGAAAGCCCGGCGAUGGAAAUCGGAAGCGGCGUUCUCCACUCCGUAUCUAUUCUCAGUGUAUCUCUGGAGUCUCCAUUGUUAUCUCUCCCUUUGAUCUCCAUCUGUUUGUCAGGUUUGCAGAUUUCUGUUGAGACCUCGAGCGGUAAAACCAUAAGUCAUGAGGCGAAGAGAUCUGAUACUAUUAAGGGCAUAAAAGCCAAGAUUCAAGAUGAGAAACUGCUUUUCUUUCGUGGAAAACAGCUUGAGGAUGGCAUGAUUUUGGCAGAUUAUGGUAUCAUCAGGAAUUGUGCUAUACGUCUUCACUUUGGAUUGCAGAUUUUUGUUAAAAUUGUUUACGAGGAGAAAUACAUUGAUAUUUUUUGUCCGAGUCCGACAAUCACUCUUGGGGUUGAGAGUUUUGAUACAAUGGAGCAUGUCAAGACUAAAGUUCAAGAAAAGAAGGGAAUUUCCCCCAAUCAGACAGAGGCUUAUCUUUGGCGGGAAGCAACUAGGAGAUACGUGGACUCUAGCUGAUUGCUGCAUCCAGAAUAAGUCUACCCUGCACCUUGAGAUUCAUCCUCGUCAAAGAAUGCAUAUCAAGGUUCAAACUAUGGACGGGAAGACAAUCAUUUUUGAGGAACUUCAGAGUUCUGAUUCAAUUUGGAGUCUCAAGGAUAAACUCUGUGAGAAGGAGGGCAUCCUACCACAUCAACAGAGGCUUAUUUACGCCGGUAGGCUACUUGAGGAUGGACGAACACUUGCCCAUUAUGAAAUCCAGAAUGAUAGUCUCCUGCUUUUAGUGCUUCAAAUUGGUGGUGGACUAAUUUUGGAGUGUUGUAUACUAUGCCUCCUUAACUGCCCAGUCCAGGACCAAAGGUCAUACAAUUCUGAACUUCAUAUAAGUAGUGGCUUAUAUAAAACAGAUGAAAAUCAACUUGAGGAAGCAGAAACUCUUGCUGACUGUAAAAUCCGGAAUGGAAGUUCCCUGCAGUUGGUGCUUCGACUUGGUGGAGCUAGGAUGUUUGGUGUGUUCCAAACAUCGUGGCCAGCUGGCAUGGAGAUUUUCUAUAGGACCUUGACUGGCAACACCAUAAGCCUUGAGGUGGAGAGCUCUGAUACUAUACUGGAUGUAAAAGCCAGGAUGCAUGAUGAGAUCCGGCUUGAUGACAAAGCGCAGAUUCAGGACCAGAAAUUGCUUAUGUUGUACGGACGACAGCACGACGAUGGACUGACUGUGGCAGAUUAUGAUAUCUUUGAGGGAUCUACUUUACUUCUUGUUUUCGGAAUGCAGAUUGUUGUGUGAAUUCAGAAUGGGAGGAUAUCAAGGCUUAUCUAUGCUGAGAGUUCUGAUACAGUUGAAGAUGUUAAGGCUAAAAUCCAAGGGAGCUUGGGUGUCCCACCAAAUAAACAGAGGCUUUUCUUUGCUGGGAGGCAACUGGAGGAUGGCAGUACCCUGGCUGAUUGUGGCAUCUAGAAUGAGUCUAACCUCGACCUUGAGCUUCGUCUUUGGGGGAUUUAUAUCUUUGGUAAGCAUCUCAAUGGGAAGAUAACCACGCUUGAGGAACUUCAGAGUUAUGAUACCAUUCGCAGGGUUGUGGAUAAAAUCCAUGAGAAGGAGGGCAUUGUUCAGAGGACGAGGCUCGUAUUUGAUGGCAGGUGUCUUGUGGAGGGACGCACUCUCGCUGAUUAUAACAUCCAGAUUGCAGAUACCCUGUACCUUGUGCUUAUUUACUAA